rnacentral:rRNA from 1 species
UACGAGUGCCCCGAGCGUUAUCCGGAAUUAUUGGGCGUAAAGGGUGCGUAGGCGGCAAUGUUAGUCGUGUGUCAAAGCCCUCGGCUUAACCGAGGAAGGGCGGACGAAACGGCAUUGCUAGAGAAUGCAAGAGGUGAGUGGAACUCAUGGUGUAGGGGUGAAAUCCGUUAAUAUCAUGGGGAACACCAAAGGCGAAGGCAGCUCACUGGUGCAUUUCUGACGCUGAGGCACGAAAGCGUGGGUAGCGAAUGGG